AAUACCGGUUCAAAGCUGCGUUCUUCACGCUAUCCACGUCAGCGGAAAUUUUUUUAGCUACUCGAUUGUGGAUCAACGGCUCACAUAUCUCUGAAGACUACUCCCUCGUUACCUUCGCUGCUUCUGGAAAUUUCCUCUCCUCAGUCCUCACACAGUCAAACUUCCAUCUUGUCCCUCAUCCUUGCUCCCUCCGCCGCGUCUUCCGUUUCCAGCCUCCGCCGCGUCUUCCGUCUCGAGCACUCCAGCAGGUCAUAUUCGUCCUCUGCUGAAGACAAAAUUCGUGAGGUUGAUGAACAGGUUUCAGCUGAGCUCAAUAAAGACAGCCUCGCGUCACCUCCUAAGAAGAUCAAGAGUGCACAGCUAGGUUCUACAUCAACGAUCUGAUGAUGUUCUCAUGAAGGUAUUAUGACGAGAAUCAUCACUUUUGGAGCGAAUCAUCACUUUUGGAGCGCGAAUGCUUUUGUGUAUAUAUAACCAAACUGCUGAAACUUUAGCAGUGCUGUAGAUAUUGAACAGAUCUCUGGUCGUUGAACCACUAAUGAUGUAAUAUAUAAAUUUGUACAAACCUACGAACAAGUCGGUUGACUAUGCAACUACCGUACCUGCUAUAAUUGUCA